CGCCGUCGGCGACGUCGCGAGAAGUCCACUGAACCUUAUCAUUUAGAGGAAGGAGAAGUCGUAACAAGGUUUCCGUAGGUGAACCUGCGGAAGGAUCAUUGUCGAAGCCCGCUCGCUCAACGGAACGACCCGUGAACCUGUCAUUUACGUUCCGGGGGGACCACGCACGGACGGUGCGGUGUCGCCCCCGCCCCGGGUUCACGCACUACCGAUUUCCCGGUCCCGUGCCCYGUACGCGUGCGGCUCCGGUCGUUGGCAUGUGUCGUGGCACCCGGAUAAAACAAUCACCCCGGCGCGAUCGGCGCCAAGGAACAUAAACGAAAUCGGCACGCCCCCGCCACCGCCCCGGACACGGGGAGUGCGUGGUCGGGUGUCGUGUCCUCGAUUCUUAAAACGACUCUCGGCAACGGAUAUCUCGGCUCUCGCAUCGAUGAAGAACGUAGCGAAAUGCGAUACUUGGUGUGAAUUGCAGAAUCCCGUGAACCAUCGAGUCUUUGAACGCAAGUUGCGCCCCAGGCCUUAUGGUCGAGGGCACGUCUGCCUGGGCGUCACGCAUCGCGACACUCCGACCCGAACGCUCGACGUAACGUUCGGACGCGGAGCGGAGAUUGGCUUCCCGUGCUCUCUGUUGCGCGGUUGGCCUAAAAGCCGGCCCCCGGCGGUGAGCCUCACGAUGAUCGGUGGUUGAUCGAAACCCCCUGCCGUUGUUGGACAUCGUGCCCGUUGCUGUGCCGUCCGCGGAGCCUUCGAUACCCCCACCGGAGCGUUGUCGUAACGACGACGCCCACACUGCGACCCCAGGUCAGGCGAGAACACCCGCUGAGUUUAAGCAUAUCAAUAAGCGGAGGAAAAGAAAC
rnacentral:sRNA from 1 species